rnacentral:tRNA from 1 species
GGAGGUACAGCUCAAGUGGUAGAGCACAUGCUUACCAUGCACGAGGUCUUGGGUUCAAUCCCCGGUGCCUCCA